AUGCACAAGUUCGACCUGGACAAGCCGCCGGUGCUACAGGAGGUGGCGGAUUUCUUCAGUGGCCACGGAAUCGAGGACUUCACCUUCAGCAAGGGCAGGCUGUCAGAAUGGCGUUGCCAGGCAAAGCUAGCGGUACGCAGAAGACCAGAGAAACCACUGAUUGGCCUGUAUCAGGAAGGGACACAUACUGUUCAACAUAUUCUCGAUUGUAGAGGUAGGACAGGAGGAACAGCGACAACCGACGGGAUGAAGCCUGGCCAUGGAAACCCACUACAGCCUUCAAGACCUCGACGGCGGUCGGUGCUAUGGUAUGAAUCCUUCCUCCACUUCAAGACCUCUACGUACGGCGGGGAUCCUGAUCAACAUGCAGUUCCCGGGGCCGCAGAUCGACGCUGUCACCAACGACAACAUCGUCAUCAACGUCUUCAACAACCUGAUCUGAUAUUGUUCUGA
rnacentral:rRNA from 1 species